rnacentral:rRNA from 1 species
UACGUAGGGUCCAAGCGUUAUCCGGAAUCACUGGGCGUAAAGCGUGUGUAGGUGGUGUGUUAAGUGAGAUGCGAAAUCGUGUGGCUCAACCAUAACGACUGUUUCUCAUACUGGCAUACUAGAGGACGGCAGAGGCAAGUGGAAUUUGUAGUGUAGCGGUAAAAUGCGUAGAUAUUACAAAGAACACCAAUGGCGAAGGCAGCUUGCUGGGCCGUUUCUGACACUCAGACACGAAAGCGUGGGGAGCGAACAGG